rnacentral:rRNA from 1 species
AGAGUACGUGAAACCGCUUAGAGGUAAACGGGUGGAUCCGCAAAGUCGGCCCGGGGAAUUCAACUUGCCGUGUCCGGGCGGCGGACGGUUAGGGCCGAAAUCCGUAAAGACCCGCCUGGCUGUUCGGCUGUCGUCGGCGAGUGCACUUUCCCCGGGUAGAGCGCCACGACCGGUUUCGGAGCGGUCACAAGCCCGCCGAGAAGGUGACCUGCCUGCUUUCGGGUAGGGAGGAGUUUAUAGCUCGGUGAGGUCGGCUCGUUCCGAGACCGAGGGUUUAGCCGCGUCCUAUCGCACCUGGCUCUUUGCCUGCGUUCGACUGGGGAAGCACUGCUUGCAGUUCUCUCCGACCGCGUGGGCUUAUCGGUCGGGAUGCGCGGGGCGCUUCGGGUCAGUGGCGAAU